rnacentral:lncRNA from 1 species
UAGCUGUAUCGAUAACGUCGUAUAUGGCGCAACUUUGUCAUGUAUUGUUCAGAACGUUACCGUUGGGUCAAUAUUUUAAGCGUGAACCCAAAAGUGUUCAUUUAUGAGUUCUUAACUGGAAGAAUUGAUAUGUCUAGAUUUGUUUAUUUAUAAGGUUGUAUUAUUAUAAACAUUUUGAGUCGAGGACUCCUAUAUUUUAUGUAAGCG